UACGUAGGGGGCAAGCGUUGUCCGGAAUUACUGGGCGUAAAGCGCACGUAGGCGGAUUUGCCAGUCAGGGGUGAAAUCCCGGGGCUCAACCUCGGAACUGCCCCUGAUACAGCAAGUCUUGAGUCCGGAAGAGGUGGGUGGAAUUCCUAGUGUAGAGGUGAAAUUCGUAGAUAUCGGGAGGAACACCAGUGGCGAAGGCGGCGAUCUGGGAAGAUACUGACGCUGAGGUGCGAAAGCGUGGGGAGCAAACAGG
rnacentral:rRNA from 1 species